GACGAACGCUGGCGGCGUGCUUAACACAUGCAAGUCGAACGGAAAGGCCCUGCUUUUGUGGGGUUCUCGAGUGGCGAACGGGUGAGUAACACGUGAGUAACCUGCCCUUGACUUUGGGAUAACUUCAGGAAACUGGGGCUACGACCGUAUAGGAGCCCCUGCUGCAUUGUGGGGGGUGGAACUUUUCGGCGGGUGGGGAUGGAUGGGCGGCUGACCGACUAGUUGGUGGGGGAGUGGUUGACCAAGGCAUUGACGGGUCGCCGGCAUGGGAGGGUGGACGGCCACAUGGGGACUGAGAGAGGGACCAGACUGCUACGGGAGGCAGCAGUGGGGAAUAUUGCACAAUGAGCGGGAGCCUGAUGCAGCAACGCCGCGUGCGGGAUGACGGCCUUCGGGUUGUAAACCGCUUUCGCCUGUGACGAAGCGUGAGUGACGGUAAUGGGUAAAGAAGCACCGGCUAACUUCGUG
rnacentral:rRNA from 1 species